CAGUCGCCGCGGUAAUACAGAGGAUGCAAGCGUUAUCCGGAAUGAUUGGGCGUAAAGCGUCUGUAGGUGGCUUUUCAAGUCUGCCGUCAAAUCCCAGGGCUCAACCCUGGACAGGCGGUGGAAACUACCAAGCUGGAGUACGGUAGGGGCAGAGGGAAUUUCCAGUGGAGCGGUGAAAUGCGUUGAGAUCGAAAAGAACACCAACAGCGAAAGCACUCUGCUGGGACGACACUGACACUAAGAGACGAAAGCUAGGGGAGCAAAUGGGAUUAGAUACCCCCGUAGUCCCUGUCUCUUAUAC
rnacentral:rRNA from 1 species